rnacentral:rRNA from 1 species
UACGGAGGGUGCAAGCGUUGUUCGGAAUUAUUGGGCGUAAAGCGCGUGUAGGCGGCUAUUUAAGUCUGAUGUGAAAGUUUGGGGCUCAACCUUGGAAGUGCAUUGGAAACUGGAUAGCUUGAGUAUGGGAGAGGGUAGUGGAAUUUCGAGUGUAGGGGUGAAAUUUGUAGAUAUUUGAAGGAACACUGGUGGCGAAGGCGGCUACUUGGAUUGAUACUGACGCUGAGACGCGAAAGCGUGGGGAG